rnacentral:rRNA from 1 species
UCCUCAUGGCCCUUACGGGUUGGGCUACACACGUGCUACAAUGGUGGUGACAGUGGGUUAAUCCCCAAAAACCAUCUCAGUUCGGAUUGUCGUCUGCAACUCGACGGCAUGAAGUCGGAAUCGCUAGUAAUCGCGUAACAGCAUGACGCGGUGAAUACGUUCCCGGGCCUUGUACACACCGCCCGUCACACCAUGGGAGUUGGGUUUACCCGAAGACGGUGCGCCAACCUUUAUAGGGGGCAGCUGGCCACGGUAAGCUCAGCGACUGGGGUGAAGUCGUAACAAGGUAGCCGU